GCAGGUACUUCAGCCGGUACUUCUCAUUCUGGCUCUUCUUCGGGAGCUUUUUCAUCCUGGCCUUGCUGGACUGCAGCGGAGCCCGCGGCGAGGAAGCGAGGCCGUCCAGCAGGCUCAUGGUCCAGCCCCGCUACGGGGGCCCCAGGACGCUGCCGGCAUCGGAUCCUAAGUCGGGGAGCGGGCGGGAGCGCUGGCUUUGUCUGUUCCGGGCUAGCGGAAUCGGGCCUCUAGGAAUCUAGCUCUCCGGGACGUUCCCAGGGCUGACCGCAGGGCCAGAGACACCCGCAACCGAACGGGCUCCCGGCGCCUCCCAGCACUUCCGUGUCUGUCUUGGAAGUAAGCCCUUCCCGGAAGUUACGUCCCGGUGUCGGCAGUGUGUAACUUCCGGGGCAGGGAGAGUAGGGUGGUCUGGGCGGUGCGAUCGUGGGCACCGGGAGGAAAGAGACAGCUGGGGGCUAGUGCUGGAUGAGGAGAGGAGGGAGGGCCGGCGGCCGUGUGCUUAGCUGAAGGGUACUAUAGUUGAACCAACGAACUAACAAGAAGCUUACCAAUGCGAGCUCUCAUUCACGCUCCCCCGCUGGGCCACUGCGUUUUAAUACGUUUUUCAUGCUUCGUGCAGACAGGCUUUCCCAGACUGUAGGACAAAGUGAGCCCAAGUGCUGGGACUCUGCUUCUUUCCCUGCUUCGUUCCUUUCUGCAGCUCACAGAAAUGUGUUUGCAGGGCCUCCUAAUGCUAUCAUCUUCCCAGGAGCUGGGAACACAGUAGUGAACAGGAAGAAAGGCCUUGGCUCUUUCUAGUAGGGAAGAUGAGAGAUUUAACACGCAGUUUUAAUACUAGCACUAAGUAGGCACUCAGUAAAUGUUUGUCUAGUGAAACCAGAAGUGUAUUUCUGUACAUAAUAUGUACAUGUAUAUGGUUCUAACUUUACAACCAAGGUCUAUUUAAAAUUAGGGAAGAUAGAAAAAUCUUUAGGGUGCGGUAUUGGUAAGUGACCCAGGCUGGAUGGCAGAAGGCUUGCUUGCAUCUUCUUCCAGCGAUGCCAAUAACUAGUUCAGUAACUCUCUAGUUUUUUCUCUCAAAAAAAAAAUUUGCUGUUCUGCUGUAUUUUGUCCUUGCGGGCUUUGGGGUCUGACUUUAUUUGUAUUAUUUAUUUUCAUAUACAUGUAUCACAUCUAGGGGGAAGAAAAGUGCUAUCCUUUGUCCUAGUUUGCAGGCUGUUUUGGCCAAUGGACUUUAGUGGGAUUUGCAUGAAGAUAUUUUUUGUUUCUUCUUCAUUGGACACAUUUCCUUACACUUACAAAACAUUUCAUUCGAACUUUAGAAAUUUAGAAAAUAUAGUACAAGAAAGGUUUAAAAAUCCAUAAUGCUACCACUUGGAAUGAACUACUUUUACCAUGUUAGUAUAUGUGUCUAAUAUUUUAUGCAUUUUUGUAUAGGUUAGACAAUACUGAAAAUAAAGUUUUCUUUUUGUUCAUUUACCAUUGUAUCAUUUCAGUUUCACAAAUGUUAGUAUAGCUUCCUUAUAAGCAUAAUUUUAAGUGGCUGGUUAAUAUUCCAGUUAUGGCUAUAUUAUAUUUUGCAUAAUUAUUUCCAUGUUCUUUGACUUUUUGGUCAAUUCCAUUAAAAGCAUAUCUUUGCGUCCAAAGCUUUUUCCAUAUAGGACUGUUCAGAGGCUGGAUAUGUGUGCUCCACAAAGGUCAUGCCACUGAGCAACUCAUUCAGUCCUUAUUUGUUUAGAAGAAUAUUUACCUAGUGCCUAUUAUGAUACCACCUUUAAGAACCUUAAUUUAAGAAGGAAAGACAGACAAGUAAAUUGGCAAUGUUAAUAUGGUAUAAUAAGUUUGUUUCAGAGGUAGGUUUUAUUUUAUUUGGCAGCACUCAGGGAAGGAGGGAGGAGAUAGGAAAGGUUUCUUAAAGGAGAUACAUCUGGGCAGACUCUGAAGGAGAGGUAGUGGUUGGUUGGCCCAGUGAAGAACAAAGGGGGGCAUGCUGGAUGGUGGAGACAGCAUAUGCAAAGGCUCAGUAUGGGAACUGCAAGUAGUUGAUCAGUGUGAAAGAUGUGUGUAGAGAGAAGCAAGAAGAGAGACUGAAGCAGUAAGUAGGGUUUUUUGGGUCAUGAAAAGUCUUGUGUACCAACUGAAGAGUUGGACUUUGACCCAGUGACAAUAGGAAACCAUCUAUCAGCUCUUUGCUUGUGUUAGGUAAACUUACCUGAAUCUGUCAGAAGCAACACAACUUUUCUACUUAACUAUACGAAGAAGGGUCUAAAUGGCCUAUGCAAAAAUUCUUUAAAGAAAUGCAUAAUGUGUAGCUCUAAAAAGAAAUAUAAAAUGGCAGACAGCAUGAUAUUGUGUCUGAGUGUGGUCUUUGAAGUCAGACCAAAGUUCCAUUAACUACAGGCAUAGGAAUGGGAGUUAGAAGCUAAAAUAGGGUAAUAAAUCAGAAGAGAAAGAAGUUCAAUAGCACUUUACUGUCUACCCAUUUGUAAGUGCUUGCUAUUCAGUGAUUAGCUGUAAGGGAAGGCAUAGUAUCCUCUGGAGUAUUAAAAGCAUACCUGGCUCCGUUAACAGUUGUGAAGAAGUCCAUAGCCCAUAAUCCCAGCCCCUGGUGAAAUGAGUUCCUGGUUUAGAUGGUGAAAAGUGUAUCUGGGCACCUGAAGGCUCCACUCACGGCUGAGACAUGGCCCCAGCCUUGUUCUACUAUGUCCUUACAUCCUAAGAGCAGAUUACAAAUUGAAGCCAUCAUCUCCCAGCACUUUGGAGGCUACAGAGGACUUGGACAAGGUUGAUAACUUCUACAAAGCAAGCUGGGUAAAUUCCUAGGAUUUCAGGCCACACCAAAGGGUUUCCAGGGGUUUACAUCUUUAUUAAUCUUUUGCCAGAUUGCCUCACUUGCUCUCUGGGGUAAGCUGAAUGUGCGUUCAAGAAAGGAUAUGGAAUUGCCUCCAUAAACGGACUUUAGAAUCUUCUUUCCUUGCAGCAUGUCUAGACUGUAUUUCUUUUUAUUUAUACUAUCCUCAUAGAAUGUUCUAGACUUAAUUUUUUAGCUCUUUGACUCUUCGGCUCCAGCUUUCACAUUUAUUUCCAUGUCUUGGUUAUGUCUUCUCACUUUUAGGAUAACAUGAUAAAAGAUAUAUGAUUCAGUUAAAUCCAAGCUUAGCAGUUUUAAAAUGUGUAAUUUUUUGGUGUGUAUGUGUAUUAGUGUGCAUGUCUUAUGAGGAAGGAGAGAGACUUUCCACAAGCUUUCUUGCUCCAUGGUUUCUUAACUAUGGGUGUUCAUCACAUGCCGAGUUGGUGAGGUGUUUGGGUUUUGAGGGUUCUAAGCCAGCCAAUAAAGUCAUAAAAUCAACUACUGUGUCAAUAUUGUGCUUCUGGGUGGUUGUAUCCUUCAACACACAUAAGACACUCAGCCAGCUAAAAGAGAUGAGCUCAGAGAUGUUAGCUCGGAGGAAAAGAAGGAUCACAUUGAGGUCAUUGAUGGGACAUCCUAGCAUCUUUCUGCUGAGGAGAUCAAAAGCUGGGAGCAUCUCAUAGACAGAUAAAAGUCGUUUGUCCCACCGACAUAGCCGUGUGAGGUUGUAUAUUAUCACUGGAACCAAUAUGGUGUAUAUUGCUACACUGGAGAGGCUAACAAUCUGGAAAAUGGACAGUGAUGUCAGCCUGCAUGUGAUCAGAUUGGGGACAUGGGUCUCAUCACUUAGCAGCCCUGUCUUGAUGGAGCAGCUGAAUUCUUCCUGGAAGAAGACAUCCAGAUGGAAAUGACCAAGGUAUAGGUAAGUGGCGGAGGUGAAGAUGAGCAAGAGGGAGUUCCUCAGGAGGUAGGUAGCCACUAGCGAAUGUGAACGCUGCUUACAUGCCAGGUACCGCUCUAGCAAAGGGAAUUCAAAGUAUCGUUCUUUCCGAGCCCUGGGCAGUGGAAGGAAGGAGGCAAGGUUAGUAGUGACCAUUUAGAACCAUACUCUAAGAGAGGCAUGUGACAAAGUAACAGAUCUGUUUUCAACAUGGCAUUCUUGGUUCCCAUGAAAAUCUGUCUUCCCGAGCAUAACCAUGCUUCUCCCCCAAACUGAGGCAUAUGAGUAUAUCUUGAUUCUCCAAGUACUUACUGCAAUGUGAUAAACCCAGUGAAUGAUCAGUGAGUAAUGAUUUAUUACACUGGAUUUCUGCCAAGCAAGGCGGACUAAAGUUCUAAGCUGAAGUAGGAUCUUUAGGUAGCAAUAGGCUUAUGAAAUUAGCACUGGAUUGGGGGUUUAGCUAAGUGCAUUCUGGGCCGGGCAUGGUGGCUUAUGCUCAUAAUCCCAGCGGCCGAGGUGGAAGGGUCCCAUAAGCCCAGGGGUUUGAGACUACCAUGGGAAACACAGUAAGACCUCAUCUCUAUGAAAAAAUACAAAAAUUAGCUGGGUGUAGUAGUGUACACCUAUGGUUCCAGCUACUUGGGAGGCUGAGGAGGGAGGAUUGCUUGUGCCCAGGAGACUGAGGCUGCAAUGAGCCAAGAUCGUGCCACUGCACUCCAGCCUGGGCAACAGAGUGAGACCCUGUCUCCCCCACCCCCCCACUCCAAAAAAAGUACAUUCUGGUUCUUGGCCUGUGUACUCUGUGUAUGAUCUUUGGGACAAUUCAUUCAUCUUAUGUAAAUAAUUUGGCUCACAAAUGUUUGUCGAGAGCUUUGGUGUUCAGGUACAUGUAAGCCAGUUUGUGCUCUGAAGAAGCUUAGAGACUGGCUUGUGGGGAAGGGGCAGAUAAGACAUGCAAAUACGGAAUAAAAAUGACACUUGGUUUGUUGCUAAAAUAGUGGACACAAACCACAGUGGCUGUAAAAGUUAGGAGAGGGAGGUAACAGUGUGGCCUUCAAUGUUCAGAAACCCUUAUGGAAAAUAUUGGCUGAAAUCUGGGCUUCAAAAGAUAGAGAGGAUUUUUUUUCAGAAGAUAGAGUAUGUGCAUAAAUAUGGGACAAUAUAAUUCAAAUGUUAGCGCAAUUGUCUCCUUGGGCCAUCUAGCCUGGCCACUCUGUGUGAAGCUACACCACUCUCCAUCCCUCCAGCUUCCUCUUGCCCCACUUCCCACUUUACUUUUUCUUUUCUUCAUACCACUUAUUAUCUCAGAACGUAGAUUUCAUUUCUGUGUUCUGUUUAUUUGUCUGUGUUUCCUUAAUAGAAUGUAAGCCCCACAUGGGUAGGUACAGCUUUGUCUCUCCUACCCCCAUCCCCCAACACAUACAAGUGAAUGUAUCAGAAGCACCCAGGACAAUGCCUGUAUGCAGGUGGAGGAAUGAUUACAUAGAUAAAUAAUUUGUUCAGGGGAAAAGGAGGAGGCUGCCUAAGUGUGGUGGAAGGUUUCUGUCACCUGGUAGUUAGAAUUUUGAAAAAGUAGAUGGUGACAGUGUGUUGAGGGCCUUGCACACAUAUCUGGGAAAGUUUGGGUAUUCUUUGGUAGGCAUGAAGGGAGCUAUUUAAGGUUUCUGAAGGCAGUAGUGUAUGAAAGUGGAAUUCUAGACAGAUGAAUCCCUUUGUGGGCUCAGUGUGGUCAUCUGUACACUAGAGGAAGAGUCCUUUCUCUCUCCCUUUACAGAAACAAUAGAAAGUUAAUGAGAUGAUGUGUUAAGCACUUUGCCUUCUUGAGAAGGAUGGCAUGGAAGAUCAUUUAAAGAUGACUAUGCAAAGUUAUCAUUUUAAUGCUUGACUGAAUUUCUCAGAAAAAGGUGGAAGAGACAACUCACUUCUCCAGCUCAUUCCAGAACACAUAGGGGUCGGAACUCUUCUGCCGGAUCUUCAGCAUGUGCUGCACGAGGCGGAUGGAGCGAUUAUAAGAUUUGUCCAGUUCGCUGAUGAUGAACAGCAGAUCGGAGCUGAGGGCUGGCACAGCUGCAUACUGCCACAGCAGCACCGGCAGCCAGGUAAAGAAGCAGAAAUGCAUACAGGGAGACUGCCCAGGGCACUGGAUCUACAGGCCAAGGAGUGGGAACCUGGCAGACGUUUCCCUUGCAGCCUUCAGAGGAGCCAAUACUGAUGACACCUUGAUCUUAGACUUCCGGUCUCCAGAACCCUGAGACGAUAAUUUUGAUUGUUGAAGCCACCCAGUUGGUGGUGCUUGGUUUCAGCAGCUCUAGCAAAUUAACACAGGCACUUUUCUUCAGGUUUCCUCAUCAUACUUACCACACCUAGCAGGGUUGGGCCAACUAUUUUGCCUACAGUAAAAUCUCUACUUGUAAA